ACGAACGCUGGCGGCGUGGAUAAGACAUGCAAGUCGAACGAGAGAAUUGCUAGCUUGCUAAUAAUUCUCUAGUGGCGCACGGGUGAGUAACACGUGAGUAACCUGCCCCCGAGAGCGGGAUAGCCCUGGGAAACUGGGAUUAAUACCGCAUAGUAUCGAAAGAUUAAAGCAGCAAUGCGCUUGGGGAUGGGCUCGCGGCCUAUUAGUUAGUUGGUGAGGUAACGGCUCACCAAGGCGAUGACGGGUAGCCGGUCUGAGAGGAUGUCCGGCCACACUGGAACUGAGACACGGUCCAGACACCUACGGGUGGCAGCAGUCGAGAAUCAUUCACAAUGGGGGAAACCCUGAUGGUGUGACGCCGCGUGGGGGAAUGAAGGUCUUCGGAUUGUAAACCCCUGUCAUGUGGGAGCAAAUUAAAAAGAUAGUACCACAAGAGGAAGAGACGGCUAACUCUGUGCCAGCAGCCGCGGUAAUACAGAGGUCUCAAGCGUUGUUCGGAAUCACUGGGCGUAAAGCGUGCGUAGGCUGUUUCGUAAGUCGUGUGUGAAAGGCGCGGGCUCAACCCGCGGACGGCACAUGAUACUGCGAGACUAGAGUAAUGGAGGGGGAACCGGAAUUCUCGGUGUAGCAGUGAAAUGCGUAGAUAUCGAGAGGAACACUCGUGGCGAGGGCGGGUUCCUGGACAUUAACUGACGCUGAGGCACGAAGGCCAGGGGAGCGAAAGGGAUUAGAUACCCCUGUAGUCCUGGCAGUAAACGGUGCACGCUUGGUGUGCGGGGAAUCGACCCCCUGCGUGCCGGAGCUAACGCGUUAAGCGUGCCGCCUGGGGAGUACGGUCGCAAGAUUAAAACUCAAAGAAAUUGACGGGGACCCGCACAAGCGGUGGAGUAUGUGGCUUAAUUCGAUGCAACGCGAAGAACCUUACCUGGGCUUGACAUGUAAUGAACAACAUGUGAAAGCAUGCGACUCUUCGGAGGCGUUACACAGGUGCUGCAUGGCCGUCGUCAGCUCGUGUCGUGAGAUGUUUGGUUAAGUCCAGCAACGAGCGCAACCCCUGUUGCCAGUUACCAGCACGUGAAGGUGGGGACUCUGGCGAGACUGCCCAGAUCAACUGGGAGGAAGGUGGGGACGACGUCAGGUCAGUAUGGCCCUUAUGCCCAGGGCUGCACACGUACUACAAUGCCCAGUACAGAGGGGGCCGAAGCCGCGAGGCGGAGGAAAUCCUGAAAACUGGGCCCAGUUCGGACUGUAGGCUGCAACCCGCCUACACGAAGCCGGAAUCGCUAGUAAUGGCGCAUCAGCUACGGCGCCGUGAAUACGUUCCCGGGUCUUGUACACACCGCCCGUCACAUCAUGGAAGCCGGUCGCACCCGAAGUAUCUGAAGCCAACCGCAAGGAGGCAGGGUCCUAAGGUGAGACUGGUAACUGGGAUG
rnacentral:rRNA from 1 species